AUUGAACGCUGGCGGCAUGCCUUACACAUGCAAGUCGAACGGCAGCGGACCUUCGGGUGCCGGCGAGUGGCGAACGGGUGAGUAAUAUAUCGGAACGUACCUUUCAGUGGGGGAGUAACGUAGCGAAAGUUACGCUAAUACCGCAUAUUCUGUGAGCAGGAAAGCAGGGGAUCGCAAGACCUUGCGCUGAUUGAGCGGCCGAUAUCAGAUUAGCUAGUUGGUGAGGUAAAGGCUCACCAAGGCGACGAUCUGUAGCGGGUCUGAGAGGAUGAUCCGCCACACUGGAACUGAGACACGGUCCAGACUCCUACGGGAGGCAGCAGUGGGGAAUUUUGGACAAUGGGCGCAAGCCUGAUCCAGCCGUGCCGCGUGAGUGAAGAAGGCCUCGGUGUAAG
rnacentral:rRNA from 1 species